rnacentral:rRNA from 1 species
UACGUAGGGCGCAAGCGUUGUCCGGAAUUAUUGGGCGUAAAGAGCUCGUAGGCGGUUUGUUGCGUCGGCUGUGAAAUCCCGAGGCUCAACCUCGGGUCUGCAGUCAAUACGAGCAAACUAGAGUGUUGCAGGGGAGACUGGAAUUCCUGGUGUAGCGGUGAAAUGCGCAGAUAUCAGGAGGAACACCGGUGGCGAAGGCGGGUCUCUGGGCAACAACUGACGCUGAGGAGCGAAAGCGUGGGGAGCGAACAGG